rnacentral:lncRNA from 1 species
AAUAAUAAUAAAAAUAAAUGGAAAUGUGCAUCCAAGAUGUCAAUAAAAUAAAAACAUUGAGAGAAAGAAAGAGGGAAAAAAAAGAAAAGUCAUACAAAUUAGUUAUUAGAUCAUGUGCGUAAUUAAGGGUGUCACGAUCCUCCAAAUCCUCGAUUCGAUAACAUUUUCGAUUCUUAAGUCACGGUUUGAUUCGAUUUUCGAUUUAAAAAAGAAAAAUUUGAAAGCACAAGCUACGCCAUUUUAAGACUUAUGCAAUAUAAUAAUGUUGACCUUUGUGUGCCGUGACAGUCAUGAAGCUCAGUGUUGCGCUGAAGGUCCAGCAAUCUCAAGGCUACUAAAUGUGCACUGCUCAGACCUUCAAUAACUUUCUGCUUCACAUUAUUGUACAUGGAGGGUAUCACCAUAGCUGUGAGAUGCGUUCUACUUGGGAUUUUGUAGCGUGGUUCUAGCACGCUAAUUAAAUGCCUAAAGAGGAGAUGCCAUGUUAGUCAUGCUGCCGAAAUGCAAAACGCCAGCGUGGCUGUGGAUCGUUGUCGUUCUAAAAGGCCAUUUAAAAACUAAGACAUUAGUGUAAACAGGGCCUGAGUGUGUAUUUUUCGCGAGGGGAUUUGCAACGGGGGCAGGGCGGAGGAUCGCGAUGCAUGGUGUAACACCGACAUCGUCUAUUGGCUCAACCCUAAUACGUACUUAGAGCUUGCAAACUGUUUUUUUUGUUGACAACAUGGACAUUGUCUCACUGGAAAUCCAAAAUUCUUCCACACCAGCGACUUCAUUGAAAGAGGAGAGGGUUUAAGCUCUGUCGACGGGUCUCCUGCGUUUUUUUUCUGCUUGGCAAGCCAAGCUGACGUGACAUGGGGCGUGGCAGCAUCGACGAUUGCAUUUUUUUGAUUUGAUAAUCGAAAUUGAGCAUAGAUUGAUUGAUUUCGAUU